rnacentral:misc_RNA from 1 species
AAAAAAAAAAAAAAAAGAUUAUUCAUGGCCAAUCAUUUGAACAUGCACAGACAUAGUCCUUUAUAAAAAAUAAAAAGAAACAACAAGCAAACACUACAACAAAUACAGGUUUUCAAAGCACUUUUCCAACAACCAGCAUCACCAGACACUUGAUGUUAAAGUUUAUACUAACAUGUUUUAUUGAUGAUAAAAGUUACUAUGUUUACUAAAUAUCAUGUUGCCUUUUUUCCCCCUCUUUUCCAUAUGAUAAUUUUAACUUGUACUUUGUAUCCAUUCAAAAGCAGCCUCACCAGUCUUCAAACUUUUACAUAUGCAAAUGAAAAUGAAUUCAAAAGCCUUUUAAUAACUCUAACUAUCUCUAACACAUUCCGUCAUGGAAAGCCCAUGGUUCUUGAAGCAUGGGCAAGUACAAAACCGCCUCAAUCAAUUAACUAACGAAUACCAUGUCCAGGCCACUCAAACUAAAAAGCUCAAAUCAGAGUCACCUAAUAUACAUUGUAGUCAAAUUUGUUAGAACUUAUACAUUGUCAUGCAUAUAGUUUUACUGGUCUGUCCAUCAGAAUAAAUGCUUUCUUGAACCUUUAUCUAUUGCCACGCUGACCAUUCAUAUAUAGUAUAUGAAAUACGCAUAAGCCAUAACAAAGAAUUUUAUGCAUAUACUUUAAUUUGUUUGUUAAGCUUCAUGUGGUAUCUAGGAUAUCUUGAGGCAGCUAUGUAAUAAGCAGGCAUAUUGCCUAAGUGCACUGACAAAUGUGUUCUUUAUUUUAGUAGGAGAAAUUUCAACGAGUUAAACAGAAUACUAACCAGAAUAUUGUGAUAAGCUGU